rnacentral:rRNA from 1 species
UACGUAGGCAGCGAGCGUUGUUCGGAGUUACUGGGCGUAAAGGGUGUGUAGGCGGUUGUUUAAGUUUGGUGUGAAAUCGUCCCGGCUCAACUGGGAGGGUGCGCCGAAUACUGAAUGACUAGAGUGCGGGAGAGGAAAGUGGAAUUCCUGGUGUAGCGGUGAAAUACGUAGAUAUCAGGAGGAACACCGAUGGCGAAGGCAGCUCACUGGGACGGUACUGACGCUGAGACGCGAAAGCGUGGGGAGCAAACAGG